CCACAACCUGUGAAUUAGGUUACAUUGCACCGGGCAAUCAAGGUUGCUAAUCAGCUGACCUUAAAAUAGAGAGAUUAUCCUGGAUUACCCAGGUGGGCCCCAUGUAAUCACACGGGUCCUUCAAUGGGGGGAUUGGGGAGAGUCAGGGAGACGGCACAGGAAGGACUCGGCCCAAGGUCGUUGUCAAGGCCACGAGUCAAGGAAUGUGGGUGGCCCCUGGGAGUUGGAAGAGGCAAGGAAAGGAUUCACCACCAAGAGUCUCCAGGAGGAACAUGGCCCUGCUUGAUUUUAGCCUAGUAAGACGCAUUUCAGACUUCUGACCUCCAGAACUGCAAGACAGGUGGCACCCGGUCCCUGGUUAUUCUCCUGAGCCUGGAGGCCACAGAGAACCUGGAACUCGUUGGGCAAGCCUGUGCUUAAAUCCUAGCACCUGGCGAUAUGAUCUUGGGCAAAUCUCAUGCCUCCCUGAAUCUCAGUUUCCUCACAAGCAAGAUGGGCACAGACCUUCCUGACGGCUUAGAGUGAGAAGGAACUUGUCCGGGUUCAUACAAAGGAGGCUUGGAAGUCCGAUCUCUAUUUCACUGGGCUGAAAUCAAGGUGCCCGCAGGGCUGCUUCCUUCUGGAGGCUCCCGAGGAGAGUCCGCCUCUUGGCUCCUUCCGGUUCUGGAGGCUGCAGCAUCCCUUGGCUGGUCGAGCUUUCUCGAAUGUCCCCCCCACCCCCGCUGGCCUCUGCUUCCUUCUCCUCUCUUCUGGAGUCACACCUCCCUCUUACAAGGACACUUGUGAUCAUGUCACCUUUAGGGCCCAAUCCUGAGGCCCCAUCCAGGAAAAGCCCUUCAUCUCAAAAUCACUAAUUUAAUCACAUCUACAAAUUCCCUUGAGCACACGAGGUAACAGCCACAGGUUCCCGGGACGAAGACCCGGACACAUUUGGGGGCCAUUACUCAAUCCACCACGCCACUCCCCCACUGCAAACCCUGUUCCCCGUUACACCCUUCUGCCCCUCACCCCUCAAAAUCCUUCCCGUUCGACUGGUGAAGUAAAUUAGGGAACAGUCAUCCCACGGAAGGUGGCUACCGUGGAGGACUACACAGCCAUCAGACUUGUAGAGCAAUUACUGAUCCGGAAUAUGUUCACGAUCUGAAUUUUUACUUUAAAAAAAGGAAAAACU